UGCAAGUCGAACGGUAGCACAGAAGAGCUUGCUCUUUGGGUGACGAGUGGCGGACGGGUGAGUAAUGUCUGGGGAUCUGCCCGGCAGAGGGGGAUAACUACUGGAAACGGUAGCUAAUACCGCAUAACCUCGCAAGAGCAAAGAGGGGGACCUUAGGGCCUCUCGCUGUCGGAUGAACCCAGAUGGGAUUAGCUAGUAGGUGAGGUAACGGCUCACCCAGGCGACGAUCCCUAGCUGGUCUGAGAGGAUGACCAGCCACACUGGAACUGAGACACGGUCCAGACUCCUACGGGAGGCAGCAGUGGGGAAUAUUGCACAAUGGGCGCAAGCCUGAUGCAGCCAUGCCGCGUGUAUGAAGAAGGCCUUCGGGUUGUAAAGUACUUUCAGCGGGGAGGAAGGGUUGUGGGCGAAUACCCUGCGACAUUGACGUUACCCGCAGAAGAAGCACCGGCUAACUCCGUGCCAGCAGCCGCGGUAAUACGGAGGGUGCGAGCGUUAAUCGGAAUUACUGGGCGUAAAGCGCACGCAGGCGGUCUGUCAAGUCAGAUGUGAAAUCCCCGGGCUUAACCUGGGAACUG
rnacentral:rRNA from 1 species